UCCAGUGACGUUGCAAACAUUCAGUGAUCACGCAUAUAACGUUUGAUAGAAAAGUAUUUGAUUGGUUGGAGAGGUGGUUUGAUUAGUUUGGCAAUUACGUUAAUUAAAAGGUCAAGACACACAUGUGGUUAGAACAAAGACGCGGGUUCUAGAAUCGCCAGUCUUAGAUAGACUCUCAUAGAAGCAAGACGUACAUUACUCUUGAUUUAGAAUUAAUGGAGAUUACUUUUGCACUUACACUAAAUCUAGUAGUUAUUUAAAUAUUUCAUAUUCUUGAUACAGUUUGUCGGUGCGUAGGUUAUGGCAUUCUAGCACCAAUGUUUAGUAAGUGCACAAUUUUUGAACGCACUUUCUUGGUUGCCUUGCUUGUAAGCUUAUGGAGUGGUUUUGUUAUUAUGCUGGUGUAUCGUCGUGUGUUUGAGAUUCUUCUGUGUACCCCUGUUUAGGGGAGCUAGUUAUGGGAUUAUCAAGAUUUACAUUGGAGUUUAUUAUCAGCAGUGGGCCAGUGUUGAACGUACUAUUGUGUGGCGUUGUGUGAUAGCAAGGUGCAGAUUUAUUGUUUAAUAACUUUAACCACAAUAUUAUAAUAUUUUAGACUCAAUGUCAUUACUCCAUCAGUUGUCAUUAUUACUUAUAUUCAUGUCAUUAAACAAUUACAUUGUUAA